UACGUAGGGACCGAGCGUUGUCCGGAAUCAUUGGGCGUAAAGAGCGUGUAGGCGGCCACUUAAGUCCUGCGUGAAAUCUUGCGGCUCAACCGCAAGCGGUCGUGGGAAACUGGGUGGCUAGAGUGCGGGAGAGGAGAGUGGAAUUCCUGGUGUAGCGGUGGAAUGCGCAGAUAUCUGGAGGAACACCGGUGGCGAAGGCGGCAUCCUGGACCGGCAUUGACGCUGAGGCGCGAAAGCCAGGGGAGCAAACGGG
rnacentral:rRNA from 1 species